AGAGUUUGAUCCUGGCUCAGGACGAACGCUGGCGGCGUGCGUAACACAUGCAAGUCGAACGAGAGAGUGAGAGAAGCUUGCUUUUCUUACGAUCGAGUGGCAAACGGGUGAGUAACGCGUAAACAACCUGCCCCGCAGAUGGGGACAACAGCUGGAAACGGCUGCUAAUGCCGAAUACGCUCCUCUUAGCGCAUGGUAAGAGGAAGAAAGGGUGGCCUCUGGAACAAGCUACCGCUGUGGGAGGGGUUUGCGUCUGAUUAGCUGGUUGGAGGGGUAACGGCCCACCAAGGCGACGAUCAGUAGCCGGUCUGAGAGGAUGAACGGCCACAUUGGAACUGAGACACGGUCCAGACUCCUACGGGAGGCAGCAGUGGGGAAUCUUCCGCAAUGGGCGAAAGCCUGACGGAGCAACGCCGCGUGAGUGAAGACGGCCUUCGGGUUGUAAAGCUCUGUUAUAGGGGACGAACGGCCGGGUAGCGAAGAGGUAGCCGGCAUGACGGUACCGUAAGAGAAAGCCACGGCUAACUACGUGCCAGCAGCCGCGGUAAUACGUAGGUGGCAAGCGUUGUCCGGAAUGAUUGGGCGUAAAGGGCGCGCAGGCGGCUGUGUAAGUCUGUCUAAAAAGUGCGGGGCUAAACCCCGUGAGAGGAUGGAAACUGGACAGCUGAGAGUGUCGGAGAGGAAAGCGGAAUUCCUAGUGUAGCGGUGAAAUGCGUAGAUAUUAGGAGGAACACCGGUGGCGAAAGCGGCUUUCUGGACGACAACUGACGCUGAGGCGCGAAAGCCAGGGGAGCAAACGGGAUUAGAUACCCCGGUAGUCCUGGCCGUAAACGAUGGGUACUAG
rnacentral:rRNA from 1 species